UAAUAUUCCCGUACUUCUGACUAUUGCGAUGGGGGGACGGAGAAGGCUAGGUGGGCCAGGCGACGGUUGUCCUGGUUCAAGUGCGUAGGCUUGAGAGUUAGGUAAAUCCGGCUCUCUCUAAGGCUGAGACACGACGUCGAGCUACUACGGUAGUGAAGUCAUUGAUGCCAUGCUUCCAGGAAAAGCCUCUAAGCUUCAGAUAGUCAGGAAUCGUACCCCAAACCGACACAGGUGGUCGGGUAGAGAAUACCAAGGCGCUUGAGAGAACUCGGGUGAAGGAACUAGGCAAAAUGGUACCGUAACUUCGGGAGAAGGUACGCUCUUGAUGGUGAAGUCCCUCGCGGAUGGAGCUGACGAGAGUCGCAGAUACCAGGUGGCUGCAACUGUUUAUUAAAAACACAGCACUGUGCAAAAUCGCAAGAUGACGUAUACGGUGUGACGCCUGCCCGGUGCCGGAAGGUUAAUUGAUGGGGUUAGCGCAAGCGAAGCUCUUGAUCGAAGCCCCGGUAAACGGCGGCCGUAACUAUAACGGUCCUAAGGUAGCGAAAUUCCUUGUCGGGUAAGUUCCGACCUGCACGAAUGGCGUAAUGAUGGCCACGCUGUCUCCACCCGAGACUCAGUGAAAUUGAAAUCGCUGUGAAGAUGCAGUGUACCCGCGGCUAGACGGAAAGACCCCGUGAACCUUUACUACAGCUUGGCACUGAACAUUGAACCUACAUGUGUAGGAUAGGUGGGAGGCUAUGAAGACGUGACGCCAGUUGCGUUGGAGCCGUCCUUGAAAUACCACCCUUGUAUGUUUGAUGUUCUAACUUAGACCCAUUAUCUGGGUUGAGGACAGUGCCUGGUGGGUAGUUUGACUGGGGCGGUCUCCUCCCAAAGAGUAACGGAGGAGCACGAAGGUGGGCUAAUCACGGUUGGACAUCGUGAGGUUAGUGCAAUGGCAUAAGCCCGCUUAACUGCGAGAAUGACGGUUCGAGCAGGUGCGAAAGCAGGUCAUAGUGAUCCGGUGGUUCUGUAUGGAAGGGCCAUCGCUCAACGGAUAAAAGGUACUCCGGGGAUAACAGGCUGAUACCGCCCAAGAGUUCAUAUCGACGGCGGUGUUUGGCACCUCGAUGUCGGCUCAUCACAUCCUGGGGCUGAAGUCGGUCCCAAGGGUAUGGCUGUUCGCCAUUUAAAGUGGUACGCGAGCUGGGUUUAGAACG
rnacentral:rRNA from 1 species